GAUGAACGCUGGCGGCGUGCCUAAUACAUGCAAGUCGAGCGAACAGACGAGGAGCUUGCUCCUCUGACGUUAGCGGCGGACGGGUGAGUAACACGUGGAUAACCUACCUAUAAGACUGGGAUAACUUCGGGAAACCGGAGCUAAUACCGGAUAAUAUAUUGAACCGCAUGGUUCAAUAGUGAAAGACGGUUUUGCUGUCACUUAUAGAUGGAUCCGCGCCGCAUUAGCUAGUUGGUAAGGUAACGGCUUACCAAGGCGACGAUGCGUAGCCGACCUGAGAGGGUGAUAGGCCACACGGGAACUGAGACACGGUCAAGACUCCUACGGGAGGCAGCAGUAGGGAAUGUUACGCAAUGGGCGAAAGCCUGACGGAGCAACGCCGAGUGAGUGAUGAAGGUCUUCGGAUCGUAAAACUCUGUUAUUAGGGAAGAACAAAUGUGUAAGUAAAUAUGCACGUAGUGACGGUACCUAAUCAGAAAGCCACGGCUAACUACGUG
rnacentral:rRNA from 1 species